GAUGAACGCUGGCGGCGUGCUUAACACAUGCAAGUCAUGGGGGCCCGAGCAAUGGGCAACCGGCGAACGGGUGCGUAACACGUGAGCAACCUACCUAGGUGUGGGGGAUAGCCGGCCCAACGGCCGGGUAAUACCGCAUACGCUCUUCUUUAGGCAUUUAGAGGAGAGGAAACCUUCGGGGCACUAUGAGGGGCUCGCGGCCUAUCAGCUAGUUGGCGAGGUAAUGGCUCACCAAGGCGACGACGGGUAGCUGGUCUGAGAGGAUGGCCAGCCACAUUGGGACUGAGAAACGGCCCAGACUCCUACGGGAGGCAGCAGUGGGGAAUCUUGCGCAAUGGCCUAACGGCUGACGCAGCGACGCCGCGUGAGGGAUGACGCUCUUCGGAGUGUAAACCUCUUUUGCCUGGAACGAACUAUCAGCAUUUGCUGAUUUGACGGUACCGGGUGAAUAAGCACCGGCUAACUCCGUGCCAGCAGCCG
rnacentral:rRNA from 1 species